rnacentral:rRNA from 1 species
GAUGAACGCUGGCGGCGUGCUUAACACAUGCAAGUCGAACGGUGAAGGCGGAGCUUGCUCUGCUGGAUCAGUGGCGAACGGGUGAGUAACACGUGAGCAACCUGCCCCUGACUCUGGGAUAAGCGCUGGAAACGGCGUCUAAUACUGGAUACGAGCUGCGAAGGCAUCUUCAGCAGCUGGAAAGAAGUUCGGUCAGGGAUGAGCUCGCGGCCUAUCAGCUUGUUGGUGAGGUAACGGCUCACCAAGGCGUCGACAGGUAGCCGGCCUGAGAGGGUGACCGGCCACACUGGGACUGAGACACGGCCCAGACUCCUACGGGAGGCAGCAGUGGGGAAUAUUGCACAAUGGGCGAAGGCCUGGUGCAGCAACGCCGCGUGAUGGACAACGGCCUUCGGGUUGUAAACCUCUUUUAGCAGGAAAGAAGCGAAAGUGACGGUACCUGCAGAAAGAGCGCCGGCUAACUACGUG